GUUAUAUUGAAAUGAGCAAAGGAAUGCAAACAAGUACCAAAUAUGUGGACAUGGAGGGUUGUUGUGAUAGAGUUGCCAAUGUUAACUAAUUUCAAGAAAUGGAAGCUGGCAAGACUGUCCACCUCAAUGAUGUAGCGCGAUCCGAGAGCGUGCAACAUAUAAAUUGUGGCUACCAUUAGUUUAUUGAAAACAUGGCUAUAAAAGGGUAGCAUCAGAUAAAAAGUAAAAAGAACAACCGAAGAGGUGUGUGCCAAUGGCGUUGGGAAGCAACACGUCAAGACAUCAACAGAUAUAAUAGGCGAUGGUUAGAAAUAGGAAGCAUCAGGAAUUAUGCAUAUGCUAGCAUGCGAAGGGCAUGAUCCAUCCUGGAGUAUUCAUGGCCCAGCACUCUAUCACCAUAUGCUUGCUUGUUACUCUCAUUGGGUAUGCCAGUUGCAAUGUGCAUGGUGCUAACUAGCCGCCAUGCUACCGUCCAGAUAGUCAGGUACAGUUUGCUAAGAAACACUGCUAAUUAGUACCACUUAUCCUUCGUUUAAUUUGGUUAUCUCCCAUAUUGCUCUUGAUGGCACUAACUGUCUAUAGUUGGCCCACACAGAUUUGCCGUGCGUCACAGUUGGGUGAACUGCCUCGUAACACCACAUUGGCUCUCCUCUGGCUGAGAUAGGGACCUCGAUAGCACCUGUCUCCAAGGAACCCUUGCUAUGAGGUUGCACCAUCUCGCAAAGAAACCCUCGUCGCCCUGUCGAAGCCCAUCAAUAUGACCCCACUGCCACUUCUGCGGUGGUAAACAAGCCGGCAAGGUCGAUCCCUUGGACACCCUCACAGGGAUUGCUUACGUGUCACCCUCGACCACCCUGGAAAUGGUACCACAAUAUUCGUCUUACAAGGCCUAAGGAUGACUACAUACUCAGUCAACGAUGGAGUAGCCUCGAAGCUGGCCCUAACAACACCAUAGGGGCCCGUGAAGAAGCGGCCCUCUAGAAGAGGAACCCUAAUGGUGUCAAGUCGAUAGUUUGAGACUAGGCAUCAGAUGACGGAGAUGCCACACCCAAGUUUUUGUAUACUAUGGUGUAAAUAUUGUUUCACCGCGGCCCAUGGUAUGAACUAUUAAAUACCAUACGCUGUGGCUAAUAUUGUACAGAUAAUGGAUAAAUGGCCAUUUACUCUUAUGUUAAUUGUGUCCACCAGUGUCACCUUCACUCAUUUCCUUUUUAAUUUGAUCCAAUUGGGUCACCAUUGGCUUCCACCCCACGGACUACCAAUGAGGGUCUAGAAGCACAGUAGAACCCCACAGUUAGCCACUACAGACAGAGACAUUAAGUAUGGACACGUAUUGACUAAUGAUUACCAGGAGAACUCACUUUACAGACUACCACCUGAAAACAUUGCAAUGGUAUAGGUCGCCUUAGGCCAACAAUUAACUCCAUGUACU
rnacentral:lncRNA from 1 species